UACGGAGGGGGCUAGCGUUAUUUGGAAUUACUGGGCGUAAAGCGCACGUAGGCGGCUUUGUAAGUUAGAGGUGAAAGCCCGGGGCUCAACCCCGGAAUUGCCUUUAAGACUGCAUCGCUUGAAUCCAGGAGAGGUGAGUGGAAUUCCGAGUGUAGAGGUGAAAUUCGUAGAUAUUCGGAAGAACACCAGUGGCGAAGGCGGCUCACUGGACUGGUAUUGACGCUGAUGUGCGAAAGCGUGGGGAGCAAACAGG
rnacentral:rRNA from 1 species